AUGAACGCUAGCGACAGGCUUAACACAUGCAAGUCGAGGGGUAACAGGUAGCAAUACCGCUGACGACCGGCGCACGGGUGAGUAACGCGUAUGCAACCUGCCUAUAACUGGGGAAUAGCUCCCUGAAAGGGGAAUUAACACCGCAUAACACUAUUGAUUCGCAUGGAUUUGUAGUUAAAUGUAGCGAUACAGGUUAUAGAUGGGCAUGCGUGACAUUAGCUAGUUGGUGAGGUAACGGCUCACCAAGGCUACGAUGUCUAGGGGUUCUGAGAGGAAGGUCCCCCACACUGGUACUGAGACACGGACCAGACUCCUACGGGAGGCAGCAGUGAGGAAUAUUGGUCAAUGGGCGCAAGCCUGAACCAGCCAUGUCGCGUGCAGGAAGACUGCCCUAUGGGUUGUAAACUGCUUUUAUAGUAGAAGAAACACAUCUACGUGUAGAUGUCUGCCAGUAUACUAUGAAUAAGCAUCGGCUAACUCCGUGCCAGCAGCGGC
rnacentral:rRNA from 1 species